rnacentral:rRNA from 1 species
UACAGAGGGUGCGAGCGUUAAUCGGAGUUACUGGGCGUAAAGGGCGCGUAGGCGGUAAGAUGUGUGUGAUGUGAAAGCCCCGGGCUUAACCUGGGAAGUGCAUCGCAAACUAUCUGACUGGAGUAUAUGAGAGGGUGGCGGAAUUUCCGGUGUAGCGGUGAAAUGCGUAGAGAUCGGAAGGAACGGCGAUGGCGAAGGCAGCCACCUGGCAUAAUACUUACGCUUAGGCGCGAAAGCGUGGGGAGCGAACAGG